rnacentral:rRNA from 1 species
GCCCUUUUCGAGGUGAACCUGCGGAGGGAUCAUUACUGAGUACUUUACUCACUACCUUUGUGAACUUAUCUGUUGCUUUGGCAGGGAGCUGGGCCCUUGGCCCACUAAAUUGUUAGGGCGUUGCCUUAUGCCCUGCCAAAGGAUUCUAGGCGCUAUAUUUUUAGUGGUUAAUUCUGAGUGAAUUCUUAAAGUUAUAAACUUUCAACAACGGAUCUCUUGGUUCUGGCAUCGAUGAAGAACGCAGCGAAAUGCGAUAAAUAAUGUGAAUUGCAGAAUUCCGUGAAUCAUUGAAUCUUUGAACGCAUCUUGCGCCUAUUAGUAUUCUAGUAGGCAUGCCUAUUCGAGCGUCGUUUCUAAACUCAACUAGCUUUUAGUUGGUGUUGGAGGCCUGGAACUUACUGGCUUCUCAAAUAUAGUGGCCACUGAGUACAGAGCCUUUCUUCUACGUAGUACAUUUACCCUCGUCUAAGAACUCUUAUUCAUGCGCCUUAAUUGUCUUCUGAGUUGACCUCGAAUUAGGUAGGAAUACCC